UUUUGUGCUGUUUGACCUUUUCUUUCCAGUGAACUGUUUUGUUAUGCCAGCAAGAGCAAAGAUCAGGAUGUAUUUACCUUUAUUAUAUUAUUACCAUAAUAUUUAGAGUGAGUAAAUCUACAUUGUGCAAAAUUAUAAAAUUACUGGUUAGCACAUCUGCCUCACAGUUCUGAGGACCCCGCCUGUGUAGAGUUUGCAUGUUCUUCCCGUGCCUGCGUGGGUUUUCUCCGGGUACUCUGGUUUCGUCCCACAUGCCAAAAACAUGCAUGAGUGCUGCUGAAGGGACCAGAGGCAGAGUGUUGUAGAAUGGUGAUGUCGUCAAUAAAGACUUGCUUUCCAAAAUACUCCUCAACAUCUGGUGAACCCGCUCCUACAAAAUAUGACAUCAGCCGUGGCCCAAUGGUUAAGAUCAUCGCCUGCCACCGUGGGGGACCUAGGUUCAAAACCCCGACUGGACCAUCCGCCAACAUCCCCCGGACUCACGGCUGUGGUGUCCUUGAGCAAGACACUGAUACCCCGAAAUGCUCCCCGGGCGCUUCAGCUGCCCC